rnacentral:lncRNA from 1 species
GCGGCUAUUUUGGACGGCCAGGAUGUGCUCUCAAGUCCCAGCACAUGAACUCCAAAACCUUUUGCUCUCCGGCUCGAGCAAACCUCUCCUCAUCUCGCUAGCAGUUCGUUGUCGUCGAGACAGAACAAAGAAAACACACAGCAUGUUGUCCCCACACGCGCGCCCCCGCAACCAUCGUCUGUUGCGUCGCGCGAGAUGGGAUGGGCUUCGGAGUUGGGAUGGGAGCAGGAGCAGCCACAGAUUUUCCUCCUCCCCCUUAGCCACCCAGCCACCCGCCUCCGCCAUGCCGUCCUCUCCUCCCAACCCUAGCCGCAACGCGACCCCUCGGCGACUCCUCCCCGCUUAGCCCUCACGCCCCCUCCGCCGCCGCCGCCCGCACAUCCGGAACCGGCGGCGAUGCAGGC